rnacentral:rRNA from 1 species
AAAUAGAUACCCGGGUAGUCCACGCCGUAAACGUUGGGCGCUAGAUGUGGGGGCCAUUCCACGGUUUUCCGCGUCGUAGCUAACGCAUUAAGCGCCCCGCCUGGGGAGUACGGCCGCAAGGCUAAAACUCAAAGGAAUUGACGGGGGCCCGCACAAGCGACGGAGCAUGCGGAUUAAUUCGAUGCAACGCGAAGAACCUUACCAAGGCUUGACAUAUACGAGAACACUGCAGAAAUGUAGGACUCUUUGGACACUCGUAUACAGGUGGUGCAUGGUUGUCGUCAGCUCGUGUCGUGAGAUGUUGGGUUAAGUCCCGCAACGAGCGCAACCCUCGUCGCAUGUUGCCAGCACGUAAAGGUGGGAACUCAUGUGAGACUGCCGGGGUCAACUCGGAGGAAGGUGGGGAUGACGUCAAAUCAUCAUGCCCCUUAUGUCUUGGGCUUCACGCAUGCUACAAUGGCCGGUACAAAGGGCUGCAAUACCGUAAGGUGGAGCGAAUCCCAAAAAGCCGGUCUCAGUUCGGA